rnacentral:rRNA from 1 species
CAGCAGCCACGGUAAGACAGAGGAUGCAAGCGUUAUCCGGAAUUAUUGGGCGUAAAGGGCUCGCAGGCGGUUUCUUAAGUCUGAUGUGAAAGCCCCCGGCUCAACCGGGGAGGGUCAUUGGAAACUGGGAAACUUGAGUGCAGAAGAGGAGAGUGGAAUUCCACGUGUAGCGGUGAAAUGCGUAGAGAUGUGGAGGAACACCAGUGGCGAAGGCGACUCUCUGGUCUGUAACUGACGCUGAGGAGCGAAAGCGUGGGGAGCGAACAGGAUUAGAUACCCGGGUAGUCCCUGUCUCUUAUAC